rnacentral:rRNA from 1 species
UACGGAGGGUCCAAGCGUUAUCCGGAUUUAUUGGGUUUAAAGGGUCCGUAGGCGGUUCUUUAAGUCAGUGGUGAAAUCCUGCAGCUCAACUGCAGAACUGCCAUUGAUACUGGAGAACUUGAGUAUGAUUGAAGUGGGCGGAAUGUGUCAUGUAGCGGUGAAAUGCAUAGAUAUGACACAGAACACCGAUUGCGAAGGCAGCUCACUAAGCCAUAACUGACGCUGAGGGACGAAAGCGUGGGGAGCGAACAGG